UGAGUGCGAGCGGCUACGGCCGCGAAGUGGGUGAUGUCAAGCUUCCAAGAAAAGCCCUAUACCCGUUAAGGCAUGAUGGCCUGUACCCGAAACCGACACAGGUGGGGUGGUAGAGAAUACCGAGGGGCGCGAGGUAACUCUCUCUAAGGAACUCGGCAAAAUGGCCCCGUAACUUCGGGAGAAGGGGAGCCACCGCAAGGUGGUCGCAGUGAAGAGGCCCAGGCGACUGUUUACCAAAAACACAGGUCUCCGCUAAGUCGCAAGACGAUGUAUGGGGGCUGACGCCUGCCCAGUGCCGGAAGGUUAAGGAAGCUGGUCAGCGCAAGCGAAGCUGGCGACUGAAGCCCCGGUGAACGGCGGCCGUAACAAUAACGGUCCUAAGGUAGCGAAAUUCCUUGUCGGGUAAGUUCCGACCCGCACGAAAGGCGUAACGAUCUGGGCGCUGUCUCGGAGAGAGGCUCGGCGAAAUAGAAUUGUCUGUGAAGAUGCGGACUACGUGCACCCGGACAGAAAGACCCUAUGAAGCUUUACUGUAGCUUGGUAUUGUGCCCGGGCUCUGAAUGCGCAGGAUAGGUGGGAGGCUUUGAUCCAUGGCUUGCGGGUCAUGGUGAGCCAACGGUGAGAUACCACUCUUUCAGAGCUAGGGUUCUAACGGUCACCCGUCAUCCGGGGACCGGACAGUUUCAGGUGGGCAGUUUGACUGGGGCGGUCGCCUCCUAAAAGGUAACGGAGGCGCGCAAAGGUUUGCUCAGGCUGGUUGGAAGUCAGCCGACGAGUGCAAAAGCAGAAGCAAGCUUGACUGUGAGACCUACAAGUCGAACAGGGACGAAAGUCGGCUUUAGUGAUCCGACGGUUCUGAGUGGAAGGGCAGUCGCUCAACGGAUAAAAGUUACUCUAAGGAUAACAGGCUGAUCUCCCCCAAGAGUUCACAUCGACGGGGAGGUUUGGCACCUCGAUGUCGGCUCAUCGCAACCUGGGGCUGAAGUCGGUCCCAAGGGUUGGGCUGUUCGCCCAUUAAAGCGGUACGCGAGCUGGGUUCAGAACGUCGUGAGACAGUUCGGUCCAUAUCCGGUGCACGCGCAGGAACAUUGAGAGGAUUUCUCCCUAGUACGAGAGGACCGGGAGGAACGCACCUCUGGUGUGCCAGUUAUCGUGCCAACGGUAAACGCUGGGUAGCCAUGUGCGGAGUGGAUAACCGCUGAAAGCAUCUAAGUGGGAAGCCCACCUCAAGAUGAGUGUUCCCAUGGCAUAAGCCAGUAAGGUUACGGGAAGAACACCCGUUGAUAGGCUCUACGUGGAAGCCGGGUAACCGGUGAAGCGGAGGAGUACUAAUAGACC
rnacentral:rRNA from 1 species